UAAAAUCCCUUGGUCCUUUUUUUUCCCAGUACCUGAACACACCACAAGACACACCCCUGUAGUCUAACCAAUCAUGAAGUUCAGGCACAUUUUAUAAGCUGAGGUGAGUUUCCCCAAUCAGUAGUGAGGGGGAAGCCACUGGAGCAGCUGCACUUGUGUCUACUGCCGUGGGGUUAGAAACCAUCCGGUUCCACGGUGUGUUGAAUAUCUGCGGGAAUUGGCCAGGUGAGCCCAGCUGUGGGUCAAUUGAUGGCGAGCUACUACCUGGAACAGAACCUGCCCCUAUACAUCCUCAUCCUGUGGGUCUGGUAGGAGGCUGCUGCAGCUUUGCUCAACCCCUCCAUUUUCCUUUACACAUCUGUCCAAUUACUAAGACUUGGAUAAUGGACUGAUUGCAUCUCUCAAAUCAUUCUCU